rnacentral:tRNA from 1 species
GGGUCGGUAGCUCAACGGUAGAGCAAAGGACUCUUAAUCCUUUGGUUCCGGGUUCGAAUCCCGGCCGGCUCA